AGAGUUUGACCCUGGCUCAGGAUGAACGCUAGCUACAGGCUUAACACAUGCAAGUCGAGGGGAAACGAUAUUGGAAGCUUGCUUCCGAUAGGCGUCGACCGGCGCACGGGUGAGUAACGCGUAUCCAACCUGCCCACCACUUGGGGAUAACCUUGCGAAAGUAAGACUAAUACCCAAUGAUAUCUCUAGAAGACAUCUGAAAGAGAUUAAAGAUUUAUCGGUGAUGGAUGGGGAUGCGUCUGAUUAGCUUGUUGGCGGGGUAACGGCCACCAAGGCGACGAUCAGUAGGGGUCUGGAGAGGAAGGUCCCCCCACAUUGGAACUGGAGACACGGUCCAAACUCCUACGGGAGCA
rnacentral:rRNA from 1 species